rnacentral:rRNA from 1 species
CAUAGCCGCGGGAAUACGUAGGUGGCAAGCGUUGUCCGGAAUUAUUGGGCGUAAAGGGCUCGCAGGCGGUUUCUUAAGUCUGAUGUGAAAGCCCCCGGCUCAACCGGGGAGGGUCAUUGGAAGCUGGGAAACUUGAGUGCAGAAGAGGAGAGUGGAAUUCCACGUGUAGCGGUGAAAUGCGUAGAGAUGUGGAGAAACACCAGUGGCGAAGGCGACUCUCUGGUCUGUAACUGACGCUGAGGAGCGAAAGCGUGGGGAGCGAACAGGAUUAGAUACCCCGGUAGUCCCUGUCUCUUAUACA